rfam:Triticum aestivum genome assembly, contig: Triticum_aestivum_CS42_TGACv1_scaffold_292698_4AL
GAAAUACUCCCUCCGUCCGGAAAUAGUUGUCCUACAAAUUGAUAAAAUGGAUGUAUCUAUAACUAAAAUAAGUCUAGAUACAAUCAUUUCUAGGACAAGUAUUUUCGGACGGAGGGAGUACUAA